rnacentral:rRNA from 1 species
AGCAGCCGCGGUAAUUCCAGCUCCAAUAGCGUAUAUUAAAGUUGUUGCAGUUAAAAAGCUCGUAGUUGAAUUUCGGGGUUAGUAGGCUGGUCAUGCCUCUGGUAUGUACUGGUCUCACUGAUUCCUCCUUCCUGAUGAACCGUAAUGCCAUUAAUUUGGUGUUGCGGGGAAUUUGGACUGUUACUUUGAAGAAAUUAGAGUGUUUAAAGCAAGCUAACGCUUGAAUACAUUAGCAUGGAAUAAUGAAAUAGGACGUUCGAUCCUAUUUUGUUGGUUUCUAGGAUUGACGUAAUGAUUAAUAGGGAUAGUUGGGGGCAUUAGUAUUCAAUUGUCAGAGGUGAAAUUCUUGGAUUUAUUGAAGACUAACUACUGCGAAAGCAUUUGCCAAGGAUGUUUUCAUUAAUCAAGAACGAAAGUUAGGGGAUCGAAGACGAUCAGAUACCGUCGUAG